UCCGGUUGAUCCUGCCGGACCCGACUGCUAUCGGGAUGGCACUAAGCCAUGGGAGUCGCACAUCCCACCGCUGUGGGGUGUGGCGCACGGCUGAGUAACACGUGGCUAACCUGCCCUCGGGACGGGGAUAACCCCGGGAAACUGGGGCUAAUACCCGAUAGGCGGACAGGCCUGGAACGGUUGUCCGCCUAAAAGGAUAGAAGGGGGAUAUCGCCUUCUAUCCGCCCGAGGAUGGGGCUGCGUCCCAUCAGGCUGUUGGCGGGGUAACGGCCCGCCAAACCUGUAACGGGUAGGGGCCGUGAGAGCGGGAGCCCCCAGAUGGGCACUGAGACAAGGGCCCAGGCCCUACGGGGCGCACCAGGCGGGAAACCUCCGCAAUGCGGUAACCCGUGACGGGGGUCACCCCGAGUGCUCUCCGUUUGGAGAGCUUUUCCCUACUGUAAGAAGGUAGGGGUAAUAAGUGGGGGGCAAGUCUGGUGUCAGCCGCCGCGGUAAUACCAGCCCCACGAGUGGUCGGGACGGUUAUUGGGCCUAAAGCGCCCGUAGCCGGCCCAGCAAGUUCCUGCCUAAAUCCUCGGGCUCAACCCGGGGAAAGGUGGGAAUACUACUGGGCUAGGAGGCGGGAGAGGCCGGGGGUACUGCCAGGGUAGGGGCGAAAUCCUAUAAUCCUGGCAGGACCACCAGUGGCGAAGGCGCCCGGCUGGAACGCGCUCGACGGUGAGGGGCGAAAGCUGGGGGAG
rnacentral:rRNA from 1 species